GGCGAACGGGUGCGUAACACGUGGGCAAUCUGCCUUAAAGUGGGGGAUAGCUCGGCGAAAGCCGGAUUAAUACCGCAUGUGAUGAGGGGAGACAUCUUCCCAAAAUCAAAGUCGGGGCAACCUGACGCUUUUUGAGGAGCCCGCGGCCUAUCAGCUAGUUGGUGAGGUAAUGGCUCACCAAGGCUUUGACGGGUAGCUGGCCUGAGAGGACGACCAGUCACACUGGAACUGAGACACGGUCCAGACACAAUACGGGUGGCAGCAGUCGAGAAUUUUUCUCAAUGGGGGAAACCCUGAAGGAGCGACGCCGCGUGGAGGAUGAAGGUCUUCGGGUUGUAAACUCCUGUCAUUUGGGAACAAGUGCCGGUACCUAACUGCUACCGGCUUGAUAGUACCAGAAGAGGAAGGGACGGCUAACUCUGUGCCAGCAGCCGCGG
rnacentral:rRNA from 1 species